rnacentral:rRNA from 1 species
CGGCACGCUAACACAUGCAAGUCGAACGGAGUUAAUUUGGUUUACUAAGAUUAACUAGUGGCGGACGGGUGAGUAACACGUGAGCAACCUGCCUUUGAGAGAGGGAUAGCUUCUGGAAACGGAUGGUAAUACCUCAUAAAAUAACGGAGCCGCAUGACUUUGUUAUCAAAGAUUUAUCACUCAAAGAUGGGCUCGCGUCUGAUUAGAUAGUUGGUGAGGUAACGGCUCACCAAGUCGACGAUCAGUAGCCGGACUGAGAGGUUGAACGGCCACAUUGGGACUGAGACACGGCCCAGACUCCUACGGGAGGCAGCAGUGGGGAAUAUUGCACAAUGGGGGGAACCCUGAAUGCAGCGAUGCCGCGUGGAGGAAGAAGGUUUUCGGAUUGUAAACUCCUGUCUUAAAGGACGAUAAUGACGGUACUUUAGGAGGAAGCUCCGGCUAACUACGUGCCAGCCGCUGC